rnacentral:rRNA from 1 species
GACGAACGCUGGCGGCGUGCUUAACACAUGCAAGUCGAACGGAAAGGCCUGCUUUCCCUUGUGGAUUGCGGGUACUCGAGUGGCGAACGGGUGAGUAACACGUGAGUGAUCUGCCCCCAACUUGGGUAUAAGCCUGGGAAACUGGGUCUAAUUCCCGAUAGGACUGCAGGGUGGUGCCUGUGGUGGAAAACGAUUUUCUAGUGGUUGGGGAUGAGCUCGCGGCCUAUCAGCUUGUUGGUGGGGUAAUGGCCUACCAAGGCGGGGACGGGAAGCCGGCCUGGGAGGGUGGACGGCCACAUUGGGACUGGGAUACGGCCCAGACUCCUACGGGAGGCAGCAGUGGGGAAUAUUGCACAAUGGGCGGAAGCCUGAUGCAGCGACGCCGCGUGGGGGAUGACGGCCUUCGGGUUGUAAACUCCUUUCGACCGCGAGGAAGCCACCUGGUUGGAAGGGUGGUGACGGUAGUGGUAGAAGAAGCACCGGCUAACUACGUG